rnacentral:sRNA from 1 species
AUUUGAAGCCUGAAGAGGAUGAGAACCUCCGGGGGCAAGAGGUUCGACCCGAGCGCAGCGAGAGAACGUUGCGGCAGCAACGGCCCGCAGGGCGAGCCUGUCACCGGGAGGUUGAUGCCCGCACGACCA